AGUCACCCUCGGUUUUGAUUGGAGCAUAUUUAGGCUGUUCACAGCUGGACUAACCAGUUCCCCCUCACAGAGUUCUGACACCUUGGCAGCAUGUGAAAGAAAGAAGGUAACCGCACACUGCAGAGAUCUAAUCAACAUCCUGAAGUAGACAGAGGACCUGACCUCGUCACAGUAUUGGUUGCCAUCAACACUGGUUGAGAAGUCUGCCUGUGCAGCCAAGGUUGAAAGCCAACAGGACUCGUAAACCUGCAAACCAUGCCGGAUGGAAUCACUUCAAACUUGUCCUUCUGAAGGGGCUGAGAAAAAGAGGGAAGAAAAAAAUUCGGGUAACUUCCAGAAGUCUGCAACUUGCUUCAGCAAUCUAAGAAUAGAGUGUUUCUAAAUUUUCCAAGAAAACAUUUUAUGCACGUAUACACCAUUACUUCGUAGUUAAAAGUUUAAGGCAAUUUUAGUACUGAAGACUUGAGGUCGUGAUUUAUAAAAAUUGACAAUAUGAAAUGAGAAAAAUAUAAAAUACUUAUUAACCUUUUA